UGAGAAACCACUUCGCGCCUGGCUGCAAUCGAGUGACAAUGAUUUGGUAAUCUCUCUAUCUCGCAUCAUGGCUCCGUUAAUAUCAUCUACCAGUAGUCACAUUUUUGCUUGAUGUUCGACUAGUUUUAACUUUGCAACGGUGCGAGCUUGGCCAAGAUUCGUUUCUUAGAGAGUUGGUGAUUGCUUUGGUUCAACAGCUUCUUGGUAUAUAUCUUUGGGUAGAUGGCAUUGCAAUGUCUCCAAACGAUUCCAUAUGUUUGUAUUUUAGCUUUUGUGGUUAGCUGAGUCCUUUUUCUUUUUGUUUGUGCAUCAAUUAACUUUAUUGGAUCAUUGGAUUUGUGAUGCAUUUUUUUCUUUCUGGAGUUGUUGUGAGGAAGGUUUGUGGUUAGAAUUCUCUCUUAAAACUAUUACUAGAAAAGAGAUUAUUGUGGAUUUUUGUAUAAGUUGUCCAAUAAAGUGCAAUUUCUAACCCUUUAGCCUAUUAGUAAUAGACUAAUAGUUGUCCAAUAAAGUGCAAUUUCUAACCCUUUAGCCUAUUAGUAAUAGACUAAUAGUUAUGGUGUAAGAUGUCAAGUUUUGGUUUUGGUAAAUAUAGUGAUGG
rnacentral:lncRNA from 1 species